rnacentral:rRNA from 1 species
AGAGUUUGAUCCUGGCUCAGGAUGAACGCUAGCUACAGGCUUAACACAUGCAAGGUCGAGGGGAAACGAUAUUGGAAGCUUGCUUUUGAUGGGCGUCGACCGGCGUACGGGUGAGUAACGCGUAUCCAACCUGCCCACCACUUGGGAAUAACCUUGCGAAAGUAAGACUAAUACCCAAUGAUAUCUCUAGAAGACAUCUGAAAGAGAUUAAAGAUUUAUCGGUGAUGGAUGGGGAUGCGUCUGAUUAGCUUGUUGGCGGGGUAACGGCCCACCAAGGCAACGAUCAGUAGGGGUUCUGAGAGGAAGGUCCCCCACAUUGGAACUGAGACACGGUCCAAACUCCUACGGGAGGCAGCA